UACGGGGGGGGCAAGCGUUGUUCGGAAUUACUGGGCGUAAAGGGUUUGUAGGUGGCCAACUAAGUCAGACGUGAAAUCCCUCAGCUUAACUGGGGAACUGCGUCUGAUACUGGAUGGCUUGAGUUUGGGAGAGGGAUGCGGAAUUCCAGGUGUAGCGGUGAAAUGCGUAGAUAUCUGGAGGAACACCGGUGGCGAAGGCGGCAUCCUGGACCAACACUGACGCUGAGUGAGCGAAAGCCAGGGGAGCAAACGGG
rnacentral:rRNA from 1 species